rnacentral:rRNA from 1 species
ACACUCCUACGGGAGGCAGCAGUGGGGAAUAUUGGACAAUGGGCGCAAGCCUGAUCCAGCCAUGCCGCGUGAGUGAUGAAGGCCCUAGGGUUGUAAAGCUCUUUCACCGGUGAAGAUAAUGACGGUAACCGGAGAAGAAGCCCCGGCUAACUUCGUGCCAGCAGCCGCGGUAAUACGAAGGGGGCUAGCGUUGUUCGGAUUUACUGGGCGUAAAGCGCACGUAGGCGGACUAUUAAGUCAGGGGUGAAAUCCCGGGGCUCAACCCCGGAACUGCCUUUGAUACUGGUAGUCUUGAGUUCGAGAGAGGUGAGUGGAAUUCCGAGUGUAGAGGUGAAAUUCGUAGAUAUUCGGAGGAACACCAGUGGCGAAGGCGGCUCACUGGCUCGAUACUGACGCUGAGGUGUGAAAGCGUGGGGAGCAAACAGGAUUAGAAACCCCAGUAGUCCCAUGAU